rnacentral:rRNA from 1 species
GAUGAACGCUGGCGGCGUGCCUAAUACAUGCAAGUCGAGCGAACGGACGAGAAGCUUGCUUCUCUGAUGUUAGCGGCGGACGGGUGAGUAACACGUGGAUAACCUACCUAUAAGACUGGGAUAACUUCGGGAAACCGGAGCUAAUACCGGAUAAUAUUUUGAACCGCAUGGUUCAAAAGUGAAAGACGGUCUUGCUGUCACUUAUAGAUGGAUCCGCGCUGCAUUAGCUAGUUGGUAAGGUAACGGCUUACCAAGGCAACGAUGCAUAGCCGACCUGAGAGGGUGAUCGGCCACACUGGAACUGAAACACGGUCCAGACUCCUACGGGAGGCAGCAGUAGGGAAUCUUCCGCAAUGGGCGAAAGCCUGACGGAGCAACGCCGAGUGAGUGAUGAAGGUCUUCGGAUCGUAAAACUCUGUUAUUAGGGAAGAACAUAUGUGUAAGUAACUGUGCACAUCUUGACGGUACCUAAUCAGAAAGCCACGGCUAACUACGUG